UGGUAAUCUCUCUGGUCCUGUACCCGUAUACCUAUUUGCCUUACAAUCUGUUUACUUGUUUGCUGUACGCCUGGGUUUUGAGUGCUUGGGUCUGCAGCCUUGAUGGUUUUCUAUGUACAUUUAUGUUUCCUUCAGAAAAGGAAAGUUUGUAACAUAAUGCCUACAUACAUACAUUCAGAUAACUGAAGAAUGUUUAAGUUGAUGUGAAAACUGUAAACAAUAAACUUGCAUAAGAAGCGAUCAAUAUAUAUAUAUAUAGUAUAUAUAGUAAUAUAUCAGUGAUAGGUACCUCUUCUUUGGUCCUCCUUGUUUUACUAACACCCACGUGGUGUCUAGGACAUCUGGAAAUGUUGCUGGAGCCUUUGAGGCCCUAGUCUAUAUGUGUUCAUGCUGGAGGAACUGAAGCUGAAGCGGGGGAAGGAAGUAAUUUUUAACUCCUCCCUAAAUGCCAGUCACUGCCAGGGAGAAGUCAAUCUGGUAUAUGGCAUCUAAGAGAAAAUACAUGGAUACCUGUUACGAAACAGAGAUGCUGUCUGUAAGCACUGCUUGUGUCACACUGCUGUAUGGUCCUCAAAGGAGCCCUCAAGCUCCCUUUCCAUAUCCAGGUUAUGUAGAUACUGGUGAUGCUAGGAACUUGAAACUAAGUUCAUUUGCUGGCUUUUACAGUAGGUGAUUAUUGUUUUUUGUUUGUCGUUGCUCCCCUAUCCAAAGUAUUUCAGUGAGUUGUAUCUUCUGCCAAGGCAGAGUUUCUAGUUGAGGCUUGGCUGAAAAAAUGAAGGCAAACAAGAGCUUUGCUAGAUUCCAGUCUGGAAAGGAAGAAGAUCCUGGGGGAUUUUUGUGUUGUAGCUCCUAAAGGCCUCUGAAUGCUUCUGGGGCUGUAUCUUUUAACCUGGACUAGAGAAGAGUCUUUGAAGUUCCUACAGUUUGAUUGGAAGGGGAGACAGAGGAUGAAGUCGGUGAGGCACAGAGGUGAAAAGCUCCAUUCAGUGUUACAUAUCUGCUCAUGAUGGUGGUGGGUUUUUCCCUUCUGUGUCGGGUGAAGAGACAGGCUGGUUGCGGAGUUGUGCUGGGUGACUGGUUGCUGAACUCAUCUGAAAAAAAAACAGUCUGUUUCACAAACAACAGGAGAAAACAAAGAAUAGUUGAAGAGUGCUGGUGUACGUGUGUAUUCCGUUGUCCUGCAGGACACAGAGGUGCUCAGGCUUGUGACUGUCCUGGAGACUGUUCCAAUAAUGGAAAUGGAUUUCUGAGCUAACGUGGAUGAGAUUCCUGUCAUGAAUGCUGUCCUGUGGAAGGGCUCUACCCAGCAACUAACAAGGUUGGCCCCGUAACAUCUCUGCACUCGAUCCCUCAGAAAUGGGAGUGGUGGUAUACAGUGACAGGGAAGUUGUUUGCACAGCAUUUCUCUUGGAAGGACUCCCACUUGCUCUGUUCCUGACCAAUGUGUACAUUCUUUCAGGUUAAAUUUCAGUGGAUGCAGCAUGUUCCUUCACUUCCUCCCCUGAAUGGGUGUUGACAUGCUAUGAAACAGCUGCCUUGCUCUGCUCUGGAGGUAGAUGCUCUUUCAAAGGCUGAAGUAACUCCUGCCAACAUCCAGCUUGUCUUAUUAACCUGUUGGGAUUGCUCCAGACCAAAGUUACAGAGGAAUGCUGUGUUAUGUGGCAAACGACCCGGGAAAGUUCACAGGGGAAUAUUGAAGCAAUUCUGUGCCUUCCUUGGUUGAAGCUCCAGUGUAUAGCUGAAAAUCUGAUUACCGAAUUACUGAAGCCUUAAGAAAUUAGGCUGUCUUCAGGAUUGUUUCUUAGAAGAAGGAUGGCAGCAGGGCCAGCGUGAGAGUAACUGUGGGGAAGUGAUCGGUAUGCGAUGGUGUUACUUUCCCAGCUGUUCAAUGGGCUUUUCUGUGGGGUGUAGCUUCUUCAGCACGGGAACAAUCUUUCAUUCUCAUUUCUGCAGUCCCCUAAGUAUGUGUGAUCUGGAAUUGCGCAGUAAUGUAAUACCUGAAAUCUUGUGAUGGACUUCCAUAGGAAGUCCUAUGUUUGGACGUGCGGUUGUAUCUUUCUAGGAUAACCUGUUGUUCAUCAUCCUUUCUGGAAGCUGGCUUUGGAAAGGUAUAUUGACAGAGAGAAUUUACGGUAUUAUUUUAAGACACUUAAUAAACCAUAGUGUUCCUUUAUUACAAUGUAAAGCAGUGCCGGUUUUGAGUUUUAUAAGGCAUUUAAGCGCAGUUGUGGCCUUCAUGAACGUAAUACCAACGACUGUAUGAGAAGAAGGGCACUGCGUUGAAGUUGAAGAUGAGUUGAGGUUGGACAUUACGCACUGAUUUCCCAAGAGGACUCUCCUUCAGUGCCUGGAGAAGUAAUUUCAAUAUUCAUCUCUUCUCAUUGUAGGCUAAUUACUAAAUAUUGUAGUAGCUUAAUUUAGUUUGUAAUUUAUUCACUUGUUUGUGAUUAUGUUCCCAGAAUGGGGGAUAAACUUGAAUUGGAGUAUUUGAAUAUUUGAGGAUUGGGAUUAAAAAAAAAAAAAUCUGAAUCAAGAAAUGAGAUGAUACUACUUACCUAGCUUAAGAAGCAGGCCGGAUAGGGAAAUUGUGUGUUUGUAGCUGCUUUGAAAAAACUUUUCCACUCUGCUGUACCUGGUGCUGCUGUGAACGUUCUUACAGUGUGAAGACCAAAUGUGAAAGGUUGCUGUUAGUUGCAUGUAAAUCGUUUCUGUGCCUUAUGGACCUUGUGCAGCAACUGAAGAGCCUUGUGAAUGAAAGGUUUUCUAUAAACAUACGUGGUAAUUACAUCGUGGGAGGAUACAAAUGGUGACUUUAGCUGUGUGGGGCCCAGAUGUGGAAGUCAUUGCUCCUGGAAGCAGGAAAGGGAGGUGAGACUGAGCCAAUCAGGAGAGCAGCAAAACUGUGACUGUCUGAUACUCUAGUUGUAGGAAGCGAAAAGGUGUUGGUUGUGCCAAGGGCACAAGGUCUGUAAUUAGGUUAUUAAGUGCAGCAUCCUCCCUGUCUGUCAAGCUGCUUCCGAUGCAGUCCUGGUCUCUUGGAUCCCAGGAGUGCCUGACAAGGUCCUGUUCUGGAGCACUGAUUUCAUUUGCUUCCAGCAGCUGCUUUAUUAGGUUUAUGAACUGUUUUUCUUAACACCAUCAAACUAGGGUUUGACUUCCUGGGUGCUGGUUUUACAGUUUUAGAACUUGUGCAGCAUAAAAAAAAUGACACUUUUACUGUGGCAUCCUCAUUGCAUGUGAACUGCAGUGUCUUCCAUAGUACAGCUGCAAGGUUCCUUUUGAAAGUAAUGAUCCCCCAGCUCAUAGCUGUGAGAAAAUCAAAGCAAACAUUUAGCCCUUGCUGGGAUCCAUUACGUAGUAAGGAAUACUUUCCACUCUGCUGAAAGCGGUCUCUUACUUGGUUCUUCAAACUGGGGAGAUAAAGAGGGAAGUGAUGAUCAAACUGGUUUCCUCCUCUUCCUCCUUUUCCCAUGAGAGCUCUGUAGAACUCACCAGGUCUGGCACAGCAGAAGCAUUCUGCAGUGCUUUUCCUUUGCUCUGAGUAAUGCUCCUGUACUUCUCAGCUGGCUGCCCAAGGCAGCUGUGCUCUGCUGGGUAUUACUGGGCAUAUCUAUUUCUGUUUUGUAAUUGUUGUGUUUCUUCAGGUGUAAUGAGACUAGACAGGUUUUUCUCUUAGAGUCACUGUUUGUUCACCUAUGUUUUUUUUGCAGGAGAAACAUGUAAGGGAUUGUCACUGGGAGCUGCUGGUCAGGCUGUGAUACUCAGCUAAAAGCUGCUCAUGAGAAAUACUAACAUGCAGACUUGGCAAUGCUGCAUGCCUGCAGUUGGUAGGAAUAAGAGGUGAAGAAGUCUCUCCAGUGUUAAACUGAUUUAUCGUUCAGCAAUGUCAACAGAAAUUUGGGCAUGUAAUCCUCAGUAGCUAUAUCAGGUGGUUUAGUAAGAAAAAAAAAAAAAAAACUCUCCUUGCAAACUGCUUUCACUCCCUAGAAAGCAUCAGCAGUGCUGCUGGUACAAUGCACCCUGCUUAAAGGUAGAAAUACUGUAUGUGUUAGUAGCAUAUUGUAGAAAUAUAGUUGCUGAAUUCUGUGAUUAAUUCUUGCUUAAAACUGCAGUAGUUUUUAAACGUUCCAAAUGCUAUAGAUAUAGCAUUAUGGACUAGAAAGAAUAUUGUAGGGCUAUUUACGUAAGAGACCCGCAGCAAAAGAAAAACAGACUUAACAAACAGCAAAGAAGCCAGGGCCUCUGCACAAGGAUUGCCUCGUUGUGCGGGUAGGUUGAGCUGCAACAAGCAGGCAUCAAGGUACUCUCCUCUAUCCUCUUUCCAAGCUUUUCUCUAUGCAAGGAGAAGCAGAUGUCCAGAAACAACAACCGAGUGCUGAGUGAGCAAAUGUGGGAAGUUAACUAAUUAGCAAUAUAUGCUUAGCUAGCAGCAAUUUACGUUUACCUGGUACCAUGUGUUUAGUUGAGCAUUGGCAAGAUGAUGAACCUUUAGUACUCAACCAAUGAGGAACUGAAGGGCAAAAUCAGGUCCCCGCAGUAUAGAAAGAAGGGCUUCAUAGCAAGAAAAGAGAAAGCAGCUUCACAAGGUAGACAUAAGGAGCAAAUAGAGAUAGAUAGUUUAUGUAGAGAGUAUUAGAAAACAAGGGAUUCCAAGCACUUUCACAGGCGCUAGGUCCAGAAUAACAAGGAGAAUGAAGGCCAUAAAGAUAAGGACUGGAGAACAGCUCGAAAACAUUUGGCAGGGAGGUGAUUAGAUGUCUGAAGUGCAAGCUGAAACUGGUUCGGGGGAUGCCCCCCCCUUCGGGGUCAGAAGUUUGCAGCGAGGAAGACUAUGAGCCUUCGCGAGGAAGACUAUGAGCCUUCAUCAUCACGACCUACUACGCAUGCGCAAAAGGGGGAGGGACUGCAUGCUAAUGGGCUCUCGGGAAUGUAAUGAAUAUGUAUCCGAAUUCGCGUCAACUAUUGAUCAGGUAUUAGUUUGACCUAUAUCUAUAGCACGAUUUCUUCGGACGGUGUGCAAGUUAGGUGGAGCGAUCCCCCUUGCACCAGGGUGUAUGCGCGUCACCAAUAAACACAUACCUGC
ensembl:lncRNA